rnacentral:tRNA from 1 species
GGAGCGGUGUCCGAGUGGUCGAAGGAGCACGAUUGGAAAUCGUGUAUACGGCAACGUAUCGUGGGUUCGAAUCCCACCCGCUCCGCCA